rnacentral:rRNA from 1 species
AGCAGCCGCGGUAAUUCCAGCUCCAAUAGCGUAUAUUAAAGUUGUUGCAGUUAAAAAGCUCGUAGUUGAAUUUCGGGAUUGACGUAAUGGUCAUGCCUUAAGGGGUAUGAACUGUUACUGUUGAUUUCUCACCUUCUGGAGAAACUUGAUGUCCUUUAUUGGGUGUCUUGCGGAUCCAGGACCUUUACCUUGAAAAAAUUGAGUGUUUAAAGCAGGCAUUUUUGCUCGAAUACAUUAGCAUGGAAUAAUAGAAUAGGACGCAUGGUUCUAUUUUGUUGGUUCUAGGAUCACCGUAAUGAUUAAUAGGGAUA